UCAGGCCUAACACAUGCAGUCGAUCGGUAACGCGGGGGCAACCCUGGCGACGAGAGGCGGACGGGUGAGGAACGCUUGGGAACCUGCCUAUCAGCGGGGGACAACCCGGGGAAACUCGGGCUAAUACCGCAUACGCUCUACGGAGGAAAGCCGGGGACCGCAAGGCCUGGCACUGAUAGAUGAGCCCAAGUCGGAUUAGCUAGUUGGCGGGGUAACGGCCCACCAAGGCGACGAUCCGUAGCUGGUCUGAGAGGACGAUCAGCCACACCGGAACUGAGACACGGUCCGGACUCCUACGGGAGGCAGCAGUGGGGAAUAUUGGACAAUGGGCGAAAGCCUGAUCCAGCGACGCCGCGUGGGUGAAGAAGGCCUGCGGGUUGUAAAGCCCUAUCGGUAGGGACGAAAACUCUCGACUUAAUACGUCGAGGGAUGAC
rnacentral:rRNA from 1 species